rnacentral:rRNA from 1 species
UACGUAGGCGGCAAGCGUUACCCGGAUUUAUUGGGCGUAAAGAGUGCGCAGGCGGUUUUGAAAGUCAUCAUUGAAAUCUUGGGGCUCAACCCCAAGCCUGGUGGUGAUACUUCAAGACUAGAUUACUUGAGGGGGUACCGGAACAGUUGGUGGAGCAGUGAAAAUGCGUUGAUAUCAACUGGAACACCAAAGCGAAGGCAGGUACCUGGCAAGUCAAUGACGCUGUUGCACGAAAGCGUGGGGGAGCCAAAAACGG